CUUGAAUAACCAGGAGUUUCAGAUCUCUUCUCUCCACCGUGGAGUGACGGACCUGCAUACCAGACAGGAGGAUUUCAAAGCAGCCAUGUCUACCCAAGUGCACCACCACCACCUCCCAGAUGGUGAACCACAUAUUCAAGACUCUGAAUCGCCCAACCUGACAUCAGCUCCGAAUUGUUACCAUGACUUGGGAGAAAUAUUUAGCAAAAUCAUGGCAGAGGCUGCCUUGGAAGGUGCUCGUCUGCCAAAGAAAGUGAUGACUGUAUUGGUACAAAAACACAUGUGGAGACACCAGGGAUCAAACAGCCAACCCUGAGAUCCGUAGACGACCACUCCACCAGCAUACUCUUACACCGAUAACGUCUCAUUCUCAGCACCAGUUUUCAUUGUCUGCUUCUUCAAUCUGUCAGCGUGACAUCCAGCAUCUACAUAUAACCCCACGGGUACAGUUAUCUUUUCUGGUACUGCAAGUUGAGAUAUUUUCUCGUGAAAACAUAAGUCGGCGGAGACCAUACUGUACGAUAUGUAUAUAUUUUAUGUUCACAACUCUUUUGCAUUUUCUCACGUUAACAGAUCCGCUACAACCACUAAGGUCCCAAGUGUCUGCUGCAUGCUUGUUUCUGGCUGCUGCUAGAACGGGGGUGAGGGGGUCGUGCUUUUGCAGCUGCAGCCACCAAACUCUGAACUAGUUUGCUUCUGCACAUUAGGCAGACAAAGACACUGCCUGUUUUUGAGCACAUUUUUCC